ACGCGUUCGCGGGCUCGACGAGCCCAGGUGGUGGGGGUGGUGCCGUGUCGGCGCAGCACCACCCCCGUCCG
rnacentral:ncRNA from 1 species